GGUUGGAGCCUUUACCGGUUCGCCUGCUCGUCCCGCUCCGCUCUUGGGGUGGCUACUCACCGUCGCGGAGGGGCGAAGUCGUAACUUGUUGGAUGAGCGCGGCGACUAUAACGGGGCGCGGUGGGAAGGUGACAUGCUUGGCUUUCGGGCCUUGCCUGUGUUAUAGNNCGCCGUGCGUCGAGUUGCGCUGCACCGACAGGACAUUACCUUGAAAGAGGUUAUUUGAGGGCUGCGUGUGCGCGGUGCGUCGCGGCAAGUGCCGCGUUCAGAUGGAUCGCCCUUGCGGUGAACGUUUGGGCGUGUGUGCGGCCGAAUGGCGUGCUCGUGCGCGUGGCUCACAAUUGACGACGAGUAGGUCGNUCUCCACCCGACC
rnacentral:rRNA from 1 species